rnacentral:tRNA from 1 species
GCUCAGAUAGUUUAUAAAGAAUAUAACGUUGAAGCUGUUGUGGAGGGGAUAAUCACCUUUGGGCG